rnacentral:rRNA from 1 species
GACGAACGCUGGCGGCGUGCCUAAUACAUGCAAGUAGAACGCUGAAGGAGGAGCUUGCUCUUCUGGAUGAGUUGCGAACGGGUGAGUAACGCGUAGGUAACCUGCCUGGUAGCGGGGGAUAACUAUUGGAAACGAUAGCUAAUACCGCAUAAUAGUAGAUGUUGCAUGAUAUUUACUUAAAAGGUGCAAUUGCACCACUACCAGAUGGACCUGCGUUGUAUUAGCUAGUUGGUGGGGUAACGGCUCACCAAGGCGACGAUACAUAGCCGACCUGAGAGGGUGAUCGGCCACACUGGGACUGAGACACGGCCCAGACUCCUACGGGAGGCAGCAGUAGGGAAUCUUCGGCAAUGGACGAAAGUCUGACCGAGCAACGCCGCGUGAGUGAAGAAGGGUGUCGGAUCGUAAAGCUCUGUUGUAAGAGAAGAACGAGUGUGAGAGUGGAAAGUUCACACUGUGACGGUAUCUUACCAGAAAGGGACGGCUAACUACGUG